rnacentral:tRNA from 2 species
ACCCGGUUAGCUCAAUUGGUUAGAGCGUUGGACUUUUAAUCCAAAGGCUACGAGUUCGACCCUCGUACUGGGUG